rnacentral:rRNA from 1 species
AUUCUCCUAGUAACGGCGAGUGAACGGAGAUUAGCCCAUCACCGAAGCCUGCGUGUGUUUGCAUGCUAGGCAAUGUGGUGUUAAGGCGUGUACCUGGGAUCGUGUCCCUACCCGAAGUCUAAAUCCGAUUGUGGCUUUGGAUUCAUUCCAUAGCGGGUGAAAGUCCCGUGCGGGUAGGACUAUUGCAAAUCCACACGAUCCUUAGAUGUGCAUGCUAUCGAGUCGGAUUGCUUGAGAAUGCAGUCCAAAGUGGGUGGUAAACUCCAUCCAAGGCUAAAUACUGGCACGAGUCCGAUAGUAGACAAGUACCGUGAGGGAAAGUUGAAAAGUACUCUGAAGAGAGAGUAAAUAGUACGUGAAGCCGAUUGCAGGGAAGCUGGUGGAGUCAAGCUUCGUGCUUGAGGAAUUGAUGCUGGGAGCAGGUGUGUGAAUUGUAUGUGAGAGUGGACAACUUGGAAUAAGUUGGGCGUGUUCUGAAUGCGCUUCAAGUCAUUCCGGGUAGAGUGUUAUGAG